GCGGGCGUAGUUCAGUUGGUAGAACGCCUCCUUGCCAAGGAGAAGGUCACGAGUUCGAGUCUCGUCGCCCGCU
rnacentral:tRNA from 2 species